rnacentral:rRNA from 1 species
UACGUAGGGGGCAAGCGUUGUCCGGAUUUACUGGGCGUAAAGAGCGCGCAGGCGGUCGUUCAAGUCGCGUGUGAAAGCCCCCGGCUCAACUGGGGAGGGUCACGCGAUACUGAUCGACUCGAAGGCAGGAGAGGGAAGUGGAAUUCCCGGUGUAGUGGUGAAAUGCGUAGAUAUUGGGAGGAACACCAGUGGCGAAGGCGACUUCCUGGCCUGUUCUUGACGCUGAGGCGCGAAAGCUAGGGGAGCAAACGGG